GAGGGGUGUUGAAGGGAAAGGGGAGAUCACUGAGAAGGACCUCUCUGGGUUGACUUUGUUCAGGACACCCAGAGUAGCCACGGAAGGCACAGCUUUGUGAAUUUAUACGCUGCAACCAGAAUGAUGUUCACCCUCACUUACCAACCAAGGGCUCAGUUUGCUGUUGGCUGUGAUGCACUGCACUCCUGCAGCAAGCUGAGGAAUUGGCUUCCAGUGCCACCCAUCUGCUAAGAUGGGCUCUGUGGCUCCUGACCAGCUGCCAGUUUAAUUUUUGGAAGAGGAGACCAGAAUCUGUCUCAACAGGAGGGUGAGGAGUGACAGCACUUGUGCUGGUGUGACAGUGAAGCUCCCUCUGUGACGCACCAGGUGAGCAGAAAGCAGCACCCACGCUGACAGACACACCACUGGAGGGGAGGUGGAACAAGCUCUCCUACUUUGGGAUGUCAGCCCGGGUCUACUCAGAGACCAGCUGCACGGCAACACAGGAAACUGCUCUGACAGUACAGCUAAACCAACCCUAUUCCCCAAGGAAGCCACAGCCAAGUCCCCAAAUGCAGAGAUCCCAAGAGCCAGGGCAGUAGGAACUGCCUGUCUUGCAUUCCUACCUACAUGACACAAACCUGAACUACCACGGCCCCAAAUUCUCCAGCCACAGCGAGGCCUCAGAAGACAAUGAAGACAAUCACUGCACUUGAAGCAGAAACUUGGCUGUGCAGCAUUUCCAGCUUUACUUAAUACUCAGCACAGGUGGGAAUAACGGAGCACGUCGGAUGAAAAAGCUCAGGAGGAGACAAAGAGACUUUGGAACACAGCACAAUGCACAACAGAGGAACAUCCUUCAGAGAACUGAUGGGCUCAAUCUGGAUAUAAAGCCUCACUGUCCUAGUGACUCCUUGAUAAAUAAGAAAAUGUCAUGCUUUUAUUUUAUAAAGGUGAAGUUCAGGGCAAGACAGUUCGUACCCCAGCUGCAAUUUUCCUAAGUUCAGGACCAGUUUGGUUAAGGAUAUCUCUGUUUCUGCAUGUCUUUGAUUGGCACAAAGGAGGAGAAAGAAGACCCCACUGCCCCCAUGCUCUGGCACUGCAGGACCUGUGUGCACACACAGAAACAAGUGAAGGAAACCUGCAGGCAGAUCCACUGGUGAAUCAAGACAAAUCCUGGCUCUCUGGGAAA